rnacentral:rRNA from 1 species
CGGAGGGGUUAGCGUUGUUCGGAAUGACUGGGCGUAAAGCGCGCGUAGGCGGAUCGGAAAGUUGGGGUGAAAUCCCGGGGCUCAACCCCGGAAUGGCCUUCAAAACUCCCGGUCUUGAGUUCGAGAGAGGUGAGUGGAAUUCCGAGUGUAGAGGUGAAAUUCGUAGAUAUUCGGAGGAACACCAGUGGCGAAGGCGGCUCACUGGCUCGAUACUGACGCUGAGGUGCGAAAGCGUGGGGAGCAAACAGGAUU